AUGUGCUGGCAAUACCAAGAGGAUUGCCCACACAUUUGAGCUGUGUGGCAUCCUUGUCUCUUAUCGUGCCACAUCAAUUAUUAGAUAUAUUUUAUUGUAUUUAUCUAAUAUCUUCCUAAUUUUUUUCAAAGAUUUGAUUAUUUUUUUUUAUAGAACUUAUUAUGGAAAAUUUUCCAUCCAUCGUGAUUGUCUUUGCCAGGUCAUUAAGCAUAUCAAAGUGGAUGACAACUGUGUCAUAAAUGAAAAAAAUUAUAGCACUCAAUAUAAAGGGUUAUCCGUCUCAAACCAGAGUCGGAGAGAAAAUUCAACAUUCUGUGACUCUAUAUUUCUUCUUUUCUCAUCGAGAGCAAUGACAUGUGUUUCUCUAAAUACUGAUUAAGUUCAGAAGCUUAAGCUCUAUUCGACCCUAGCUCAUUGAGGGAAUUUUAUUUUUUUCUGCACAUUGAUAUCCCUUCACCAAUAAAUUGUUCAUUUUUAUUUCUUUACUGAGUUUUAGUUUGUUUUCGUUCAAUCAGAAUUGACAAAGGCAGUCGUACAUGGUAGAUCAUCAGUUUUAUUCCCAAGAGCUAGAUCAGUUGAUGUUGCGUGCCUCUAAAGGAGUUAAAGAUAUUCAAGAAAUGAUGGUAUCUACCAUAAGGAGAGUUCAAAACAAAAAUUUGUACUUAAUAGCCAAUAACCCUAAAUAUAAAAAUACUACAUUUGCUUGGCAUCUUAUUCACUAUUGAAUAAUACCCUUUUUGAUUCAAAGGCAAGAGAUGAGAUCCACCACAUCAAAUGGUGAACACUAGGGACACAUGAUGUUCAUUCAAGUUGCCUCUGCUUGGGUGUGACCCAAACUGAAGGAAACUUGAAAGAAAAGUAGGAGGCAAAAGGGAGCAUGGGGUUCGAUCUGGCCAUCCUCAACAUGGUAGAUACCUAUAUCACAAGGCUUACUUGUUUGAGGAUGUAAAUCAUUUGUAAAGUAAAUAGAAUUACCAUGUACUCCUGGGCUCUCAAUAGUUGAACUUUUUAUUGUGGUUCUCUUCCAACUUGUAUAACAAAAAAAUGAAGGUUAUAUAAUGAGCAUAAGUAUCCCAAAGAGUCAAUAAAGGCACAACUUCCAGAAGAAAUAUGGUCAAGGACUCUGAAACAGAUCUCUGGAUGCUUUUGCCACAUAAGUUUGAAGGAUAGAGAAGUUAUAAAAUAGGAAGCAUGUGCCAAUGGAAGACAAGAUUUUUCAAGUGGUGUUAUACAGAAGCAUGCAUGGAAAUGGGCUUAGGUAAGAUAAAUGCUACAGACAUCACAGGACAUUAUGGUACAAUGGACAACAUAUCUUCAGGAAGUAGCUCAGCUUCACAGGACAUGUUACUUCAUUUUAAAAGGGAGCCAUAUGGUGUUGAACCUCCAAGAUACCAUUUAUAUAGGGAAUAAUAACUAUAUCUUGAUGGAUCAGAGGUAGGGAGGAGUGUGCAGUACAGAAAAUACAAGGUGGCUUCAGGAUAUUUCAUGGUAGUACAUGUUGGAGUUUUUCGAUGAUCAUUUUGGAAUCUAAGCUGUAAUCUGAAUCUGUCCCAGUGUUAGAGAGAGAGAGAGAGAGAGAGAGAGAAGGAACAAGAAGUGGGGUGAGAGAGAAAGAUAGUUUUGGGGUAUUGAAAGACUCUUGUUGUACAGGGUUUAGAUUGAUUUCCUUAGUUACCUAUUGUAACUAUCCAAUCUAGCUAAUUCCUUGUAUAUCUAAACUCUUAUCACACAUGAUACAUUGUUAUCCUUCCAUAAGUAGGAAGGUGUAGUCGGCUAGGAUAUUUGGACUUGAGGGUAUAUAUGUCAUUUCAAUAAUGUAUUAUUUUAAAUCAAAUAAAGUCCAAAGUUUGAUUGAGUAAAAAA